UACGGAGGGUGCAAGCGUUGUCCGGAUUUAUUGGGUUUAAAGGGUGCGUAGGCGGCCCGUUAAGUCAGUGGUGAAAGCCUCCAGCUCAACUGGAGAACUGCCAUUGAUACUGGCAGGCUUGAGUACAGACGAGGUUGGCGGAAUUGAUUGUGUAGCGGUGAAAUGCAUAGAUACAAUCAAGAACACCGAUUGCGUAGGCAGCUAACUAGGCUGUAACUGACGCUGAGGCACGAAAGCGUGGGGAGCGAACAGG
rnacentral:rRNA from 1 species